AAAAAAAAAAAAACUGCCAGAGGCAGAGGGUUGAAGUUGAAUAACGUAACAAAACGAACGUGUAACAAACGAUGAACUAAACUAGUGGAUGAAACCACCACACAACCCAUACAUUUGCAUUUUUGCUGCUGAGCGCAAAGGCAAAAAUCCCAAAAACCAAAAGCACAAAACAAAAACACAACACAACUCGCAAUCUCGCACACUACCACACAAAAACAAAAAAAAAUUUGAAGCAAGCAGCAGUAGCAGCAGCAUUAUUUUUCAUUAGAAAAAGCAGCAACGGGCAAUAGGAAUAGCAAUAGCAAGCACCAGCACAACCACUCACUAAAGCCAUAGCACUCGAAAGAGAAGAGCAUUCGACGCAGGCAAGGCACACACAGUGGUAACUCUGGUUUGUGGGCCCCCAAAAACGCAAUUCACCGAAUUCAUGUUUGUCUAUUCGGCCCUAGGUUUCGGAGGUGCUCGCAGCGCAGUAGUGUGCACUCGUCGUCGUUGUCAAUAAAACGUUUUUAACUUCUUCUUCCCAAAAUUUUCAAAAAAAAAAAAAAAAAAAAUUCAACACAAAAAAUUUUUAAUUCUUAAAAAAAUUACAAAAAAAAAAAAAAAUUUUAAACAAAAACAAAAAUUUUAUCGCUCGCGCAAAAAUGAUAUCGAAUAAACAAAUUAAGUGACAAAACAUACAAACAAACACACAACAUUUUUGCAUUGUUAGUUACUGUUUUUUUAUAAGUUUUUCGAAUUUGUUUUUAAUUCACAACAAAAAUCAUUUUUGCAUUCUACACACAUGCAACUCCCCAAACGAAUUAAAUGUAUUUUUGAGUAAUGAGUGAGUGAAACUUUAACAAAAAUUUAAUAAUAGUGGAUUGUUGUUAGGUGUGGAAGAGUGGAAAUAGUGGAUGCAUUUUCACCCUUAUUUUCCUUCCAAAUUUCCCAAAAUUUUUAUCAUUGCUAUCAGUUGUCUCUCUUUUAUUUUUUGGGGGUUCUUUUGCUUUCUCGGUGGUUAAAUUUUUCUGUUCUCUACGUUGUUGUUGUUCUUGUUCGUAUUAUAGUCGUGCAGAGUACUGCUUCGCUGCAAGUGCGUGUGAAUAAAAUUACGCAUAAAAUAAAAGAAACAAGCACAAAGUAUAAAAAAAAAAUCGAUAAAUCUCAAAGAGAAUAAUAAUUUAUGAUUUAAAUUAACAACAACUCCUUUGCAGCCACUGCAUUGACAUACAUACAUAAAAUUUAUGUGAAUUAUAAGAAACAAAAAAAAAAAAAGAAUUCUAAUUAUGGUGAGAACGAGAUUUAAUUAAAGUUGAAAUAAAUACAAGAAAAAAGAGACUGACAAUCGGUAUAGUUCGGUUGUUUUUGGGACUCGUUGUGACUCGGGGGGUUGUUUACCAAAGUGAUUUCACAAAAAUGAUUGUAAUAAAAAGAACACAAAUUAAAAGUCUGCGAUAAAGUGAGAACGAAGAGUUAAAUAUUUGUUCUUUAUUUAUAAGACAAAUGCUCAAAAAAGAACUCAAAAAUCUAAAACAGAAAGGUUGUAUAAAUUUAAUUAUUAAAUAAUAUAAAAAAAAAAUAAAUUAUUUAAAUAAACAUCAUAAUAAAUUAUGCAACAAAAAAAUAUAGU